AGAAUAUUGGUCAAUAGCCUAACGGCUGAACCAGCAACUUGAAUGAAUGAAAGGCGAAAGCCGCAUGCAUAUAACAUACUUUAUGCAGUAGUAACAACGUUACAUAAAGUUCUAGAUAAAUAUUUGAUAAUGACAGGAUUUAUCUAUGAGUCUUGACCAAGUCACGUGCCAGCAGUCGCGGUAACACGUGGAAGACAAGUGUUAUUCAUAUUGAUUCGGUUUAAAGGGUACCUAGACAGUCAACCAAGCCUAAAUCAGGUACUAGUUGUACUAGAGUUUUAUAGAAGAAAAUGGUAGAGGAGUUAGUGUAGAGAUAAAAUUUUUUGAUACUACUGCAGACUGACAAGGGCGAAAGCGAUUUUUUAUGUAAAAACUGACGUUGAGGGACGAAGGCUCAAUUUAAAAGAAUAGGAUUAGAUACCCUAGUAUUACGAGCAGUAAAUGCUGAGUGUCAUAGAUAAGUAAACUAAUAAUAUUAAUUUCGUUAAUAUUAGAAUAUUAUUUAUGUAUAAAUGAAAGUGCAAGCACUCCACCUUAAGAGUAAUGCGGCAACGCAGGAACUGAAAUCAUUAGACCGUUUCUGAAACCAGUAGUGAAGUAUGUUAUUUAAUUUGAUAACCCGCAAAAAACCUUACCACAAUUUGAAUAGCUUUUUUAAAAAGGAAAAGUUACAGGAGUUGCACGGCUGUCUUCAGUUGAUAUCGUGAGAUUUUGGUUAGUUCCAUUCAAUCAACGUAAACCCUUUUUCUAUUUGUUAUAGAAUAACGCCGCCUUUGGUAAGGAUAAUAGGGACUAGGACAAGUCAUCAUGACCCGAAUAUUGUGGGC
rnacentral:rRNA from 1 species